rnacentral:lncRNA from 1 species
AUGUUUCCAAUAUAUCGUGAUAUUUUGAACAACAUUGAGGCUGGGUGGCCAUCUGUCAGGGAUGUUUUGCUUGUGCUUUGGUGCACAAAGGCAGAAGGGGAUUGGACUAAAUGGCCCAAGGGGUUUCUUCCAACCCUCUUUAUUAUUAUUAUUAUUAUUAUUAUUAUUAUUAUUAUUAUUAUUAACAUAGAGGCUGGGUGGCCAUCUGUCAGGGGUGCUUUGCUUGUGCUUUCGGCGCACAAAAGCAGAAGGAGUUGGACUAAAUGGCCCAAGGAGUCUCUUCCAACCCUCUUUAUUAUUAUGAUUAUGAUUAUGAUUAUGAUGAUUAUUAAUAACAUUGAGGCUGGGUGGCCAUCUGUCAGGGGUGCUUAGCUUGUGCUUUUGGUGCACAAAGGCAGAAGGGGGUUGGACACAAUGGCCCAAAGGGUCUUUUUCAACCCACUUUUUAUUGUUGUUGUUGUUGUUGUCAUUAUUAUUAUUAAUUAUUAUUGCUCGGUGGCCAACAAUAGUCCGGCCCUCCAAUGGUCCGAAGGAUCGUGAACUGGCCCCCUGUUUAAAAAGUUUGGGGACCUCUGAUCUACAGGGUAAAAUGAAUGCUGUUUCAUGCCACUUGAACUGCCAGGGUUCAGUGCUAUUUAUUCCUGAGCGUUUGGGGAGGCACUAAGCACUCUUUGAAGAAAAGGUUGAUUAAGAUCUUGUAAAACAACUUCUAGGAAACCAUGAAAAUGAACAAAAUCUGGCUACCAGUAUUUAAAAGACUCUAAAAUCAGGACAGUAAAUAUAGAGCAACACUCAAAAACAGGGGAAUUCCAGGCAAGAAACAAUCAGGGCCGGCUAUCACUUCCCAACAAAUGAUUCCCCCAGGCAGGAAGCAGCCAGGCUUUGAAGCUGCAAGGCCAUUCAAUGCUAAUCAAGGCGUCCAACUGCAACAAUCAUACUUGCCUCAAACAGGCAAGAGUUCUUUCUCCCACCCUGGGCAUUCCACAGAUAUAUAAACCCCAUUUGCAUAGUUUCCAACAGACCUCACAACCUCUGAGGAUGCCUGCCAUAGGUGUGGGCGAAACGUCAGGAGAGAAUGCUUCUGGAACAUGGCCAUACAGCCCGGAAAACUCGCAGCAAGCCAGUUUCUAGGAUUCCUUAGCAUUACACCAUGACAGUUCAAGUGGUGCCGAACUGCCUUAAUUCUACAGUGUAGCUGCACUCGUAGUCCAGCGCGCGAACCAGGACAAAGCACGCUUCGCUUUGGAAAGGGGGGAUAUUUAAACUCAAGCCUAAACGGUGCAACUAAGAGAGAGAGGGUUCCUACUCUUCUCGACCCCUCCCUCCCUUUCCUGGGAGGUCUUGGAUGUUGUCUUUAAUCUGUGGAAAGAGGAGGACUAAUGGCUGGUGGAGGAAAUGAGAUCGAAUCCGGGGGAAGCAAUUUGGAGCCCAGGAAGGCGGCGUUGAAGGCCUAAAGGAGAGCCUUCACUUGGGGGCUCUCUCUUUACCCUGCCCCUUUCCUCUUGGGACACAACCCCGUCAGCGCCAGAUAGAGCCAGUUCCCUCCCAGCAAGCAAACCCCAAAACCCAGCCGUGGCACAAGAGAGCCCACCAGGCUCAUACAUCUCCUUGGGUGCAUCUCCAGCCUUAGAACUGAUUUGACACCACGGCUCAAUGCUAUGCAGUUCUGGGGGUGGGUGAAAUUUUCUACACUGCCAUAUAAUUCAGUUCAACGCAAAUAAUCUGAUUUUAUAUGGCAGUGUAGAAGGGGCCUCAGACAAAUGCAAGGGCGAACCUCCUCUAAAGAAAUCUUGCCAGAAAACCUCUAAGAUCUUCCCAAGUUUCCCCCUUAACCUUGGCAUAAAUCGAAAAUGACUUGGACAAGAUCAACAUAACCAUAUAAUGCAGCUUGAACUGCAUUGUAUGAUCAGUGUAGGCCAGGCAUAGGCAAACUUGGGCCCUCCAGGUGUUUUGGACUUCAACUUCCACUAUUAAUAACAGCCGGCUGUUAGGAAUGGUAGGAGUUGAAGUCCAAAACACCAGGAGGGCCCAAGUUUGCCCAUGCCUGGUGUAGACCCAUGUGAUACAGUUCAAAGGACAUUAUAUGGCAGUCUGGGUCCAGCACUGAAAGCCUACAACCUCUCUGAAAUCAACAGAACUGAAUGGAAUAAAUAUAAAAUAGGAUUGAACUAGUAAUCCAUGUUAUUAUGUUUUUCCAAAUCCAUUAUUUGUUCGCCAUUGCCUUCUUCUAAGGCUGAGAGAGAAGUGUGCCUUGCCUAAAUGCUUUUUAAUGGCUGAGCAAGGACUUGAACCCCGCGAAGGGAAUGUGCAGGGUGGGAGAGAGAACUCUUAUCUAUCUAUAUCUAUCUAUCUGGCAGGGGGCACUCAUAUAAUCCAGUUUAAAGCAGAAAACCUAGGAUCAGAUCCUGGGAUAUAGGGCCUGUCUGGAAGGGCCCUUCCACAUUGUAGAAAUACAGUAGAGUCUCACUUAUCCAACACUUGCUUAUCCAACGUUCUGGAUUAUCCAACACAUUUUUGUAGUCAAUGUUUUCAAUACAUCGUGAUAUUUUGGUGCUAAAUCCAUAAAUACAGUAAUUACUACAUAGCAUUACUGUGUAUUGAACUACUUUUUCUGUUAAAUUUGUUGUAUAACAUAAUGUUUUGGUGCUUAAUUUGUAAAAUCAUAUUGUAAUUUGAUGUUUAAUAGGCUUUUCCCUAAUCUCUCCUUAUUAUCCAACAUAUUCGCUUAUGCAAUGUUCUGCCGGCCCGUUUACGUUGGAUAAGCGAGACUCUACUGUAAUGCAGUUUGACACCGCUUGACCUGCCCUGGCUCAAUGCAGUGGGUUUAUAGAAGCCUUCUCUGCCAAAGAGCGUGCCGUUGCCUCGCCAAACUAAAGCUCCGUUGCAUUAAACCAGGGAUAUGAAACUAAAUUCAUUCUAUACUGGAGACGCAUCCCGAGACAGGUGUCAGAAUCUGGAUUUAAAACGUUCUAAUCCCAAGCCCAAAACGUCUUGGGAAAUACCUUUGGGCAGCCCAAAUAAAAUCCACGCAAAAGGGGGAAAAAAACCAAACAAACUCACCGCAGCGGCAGAGCGAGAAGCCAGCCAAGUCUCGAUGCCCAUUUCGCUGUCCGCUUGCCUGGCACCUUGAAAGGAAUGGGGAAGGAAGCAUGAGAGAUGAAAGGCUGCGGGGGAGAGAGAAAGAAGGCUGAUGCGAAGCAAAUGGCUCCAAUCUCCUCCAGCCUUUUCCCCUGCAAGCCCAGCAGCCCUCGGAUUCCCCCCACCUGUGGGAAAGAGGCGGGAAAGGGCAUCCUGAGGGCCACCUGCGCCGCCCUGCCAAGACUGCCUUCAGGAUGCCUCUGGGGAGGAAAGAUACUGAGGCCAGCGAGCGCUUGGCCAAAAGGAUGGUCAGUAUUUUUUGAGGGGUGAUGGAAGGCCCAGAUGUUCCUUCUUCCCUCCUUAAAGAGGCACGGUUUAAAGCCCUCCUGGAGAAGGGAAGGCCCUUUGUGUUGUCGAAGGCUGCAUGGCCGGAAUCAGUGGGUUGCUAUGAGUUUUCCGGACUGUAUGGCCAUGUUCCAGAAGCAUUAUCUCCUGAACUUUAACCCACAUCUGUGACAGGCAUCCUCAGAGGUUGUGAGGUAUAUUGAAAUCUAGGCUAGCGAGGUUUAUAUGUCUGUGGAAGGUCCAGGGUGGGAGAAAGAGCGCUCGUCUGCUGGGGGCAAGUGUGACUGUUGCAAUUAAUCACAAAGAUUAGCACAGUGGUUCUCAACCUGGGUCCCCAGAUGUUUUUGGCCUUCAACUCCCAGAAACCCUAACAGUUGGUAAACUGGCUGGGAUUUCUGGGAGUUGUAGGCUAAAAACACCUGGGGAUCCCAGGUUGAGAACCACUGGUUUGCAUUUAAUGGCCCUGCAGCUCCAAGCCAUAACAGAGCACUUUGGGAACACAGAAAUGCUGGACCACUCUAGCAACCAUCAUGUCAGAAUGCUCAGAGAAGCCGCUGAAAUCCAUAAGCAUGUGUACAAUUUCAACGGAAAGGAGGAAACGAUGAAAAUGAACAAAAUUUGGCUGCCAAUAUUAAAAAAAUCUCUAAAAUCAAGACAGUAAAUAAAGAACAACACUCAGAAAACACGGAAAUUCCGGCCACGAAACAAUCAGGACCAACUAACACUUCCCAACAAAGGAUUCCCCCAGGCAGGAAUAAGACAGGCUUUGAAGCUACAAGGCUUUUCAAUGCUAAUUACAACAUUCACACUUGCCUCCAACAGGCAAAGGUUCUGUCUCCCACCCUGGACCUUCCACAGAUAGAUAAACCUCCCUCGCCUAGAUUCCAACAUACCUCACAACCUCUGAGAAUGUCUGCCAUAGAUGUGGGCGAAGCGUCAGGAGAGAAUGCUUCUGGAACAUGGGCCGGAAAACUCACAGCAACGAAGGGCAGAUCCUUUUCUCCGUCGCUGUCGAGGGGGAGGAAGGGAAAGCAGGAGGCUUGGGAGCCGGAGGAGAGGAGAAAGCGGGGAGUUUGGGGGAGGGACUCGUACCCACUGCCUGGCUUUCUCCCCCUUCAAAAAGCCCCAAAUCAAUAAAUUAACAUGCUCAGUGAUGGAGAUAUUCAGGGAAGGCGGGUUUUGCGCAGGGAGGUGAGGCCAGGCCCUCUCUCUCUCUCCUCUUUCUCUCCCCCGCUCCCUCUCCUUUGGGAGGGUCCACCCCCUAGAAAACAAAACUUGGGGGGCCUCCAGCGCCUGGCUUCAGUGGAGCAGCAAAAGGGAAGCGGGAAGGAGCCGGAGGCUUUGCAGGAAAGAGGCGGGGAGGGCAGCGGGGGUGUUGAUAUUGCGUCCCCCCCUUCCUCCCCUUCCUCUCUUCCCUCUUUCUUUUUCAAGAACUCACCCAGCCCCGUUUUCGACCCGCUUUAGGGCGCCGUGGGCUGCUGGCAUGAGAGG